CAAUUUCCACAGGAAACACUUCCAUCUUUUCCACCCUUUUCUCAAGUUCAUACUCAGCUGAGGCUGCCACAGGGUCAACUUCUUCAUUACGUCUAUCGUAGUCUUCAUUUGAGCACUGAGUGUUUUAUUCAACAUCACUGUAAGACAAAAAACAGUUAAGGAUUGCAGCUGCAGCAGCCAUCUCCCUAAUCAAGAACAUGCAGUGCUGACACAAAGUUCAUUUACACUGGCCUACUAAAUUUCUGCAAUUUUUGUAUUUUGCCACUAAGACUACGUAGACAGGUAACUGCAAUCAUACAUUCAAAGAAGAAGUUGAGAGAAGAUCCAUGAUCUCCAUCUGUGAUCUGGUUGUACUCCUCCACCAUCUCCUCCACCAGUUGAGGUGGCAUUGCUCUCUGGCUGACAAAGAGGCUGAAAGACUUCAAAAUAAAUAGGAGAUGAUCAAAAUACUACUCACAAACAAAAAACUACUCACAGUACCACAUAAAAGGGGGCACUCCCAAAAAAUCUUGGCUCCUUGACUU